rnacentral:rRNA from 1 species
AGAACGAACGCUGGCGGCAGGCCUAACACAUGCAAGUCGAACGGAUGUAGCAAUACAUUAGUGGCGCACGGGAGAGUAACGCGUGGGAACCUACCUUUUGGUUUGGGAUAACGUCGGGAAACUGACGCUAAUACCAGAUAAGCCCUUCGGGGGAAAGAUUUAUCGCCGAUUGAUGGGCCCGCGUAAGAUUAGCUAGUUGGUGAGGUAAUGGCUCACCAAGGCUACGAUCUUUAGCUGGUCUGAGAGGAUGAUCAGCCUCACUGGGACUGAGACACGGCCCAGACUCCUACGGGAGGCAGCAGUGGGGAAUAUUGGACAAUGGGGGCAACCCUGAUCCAGCCAUGCCGCGUGAAUGAUGAAGGCCUUCGGGUUGUAAAGUUCUUUUGGCGGGACGAUGAUGACGGUACCCGCAGAAUAAGCUCCGGCUAACUUCGUGCCAGCAGCCGC